rnacentral:rRNA from 1 species
GACGAACGCUGGCGGCGUGCUUAACACAUGCAAGUCGAACGGAAAGGCCCUGCUUUUGUGGGGUGCUCGAGUGGCGAACGGGUGAGUAACACGUGAGUAACCUGCCCUUGACUUUGGGAUAACUUCAGGAAACUGGGGCUAAUACCGGAUAGGAGCUCCUGCUGCAUGGUGGGGGUUGGAAAGUUUCGGCGGUUGGGGAUGGACUCGCGGCUUAUCAGCUUGUUGGUGGGGUAGUGGCUUACCAAGGCUUUGACGGGUAGCCGGCCUGAGAGGGUGACCGGCCACAGUGGGACUGAGAGACGGCCCAGAGUCCUACGGGAGGCAGCAGUGGGGAAUAGUGCACAAUGGGCGGAAGCCUGAUGCAGCAACGCCGCGUGCGGGAUGACGGCCUUCGGGUUGUAAACCGCUUUCGCCUGUGACGAAGCGUGAGUGACGGUAAUGGGUAAAGAAGCACCGGCUAACUACGUG